CUUUGAUGAAGCCCAGCGGCUCCUCCAGUCGUCGCCAGCGCAACCCCACCAGCAGGCGGUCCACCUGCGAAAACAGAGCCAGCUAUCUGUCAAGGCGGUCUCAUUUUCGGAAAGCGUUCAACAGGAGCCCUGUGCGAGCAGUUGUGAAUAUUACACGUUCAGUUUACGGGAAUGUAAAUCCAGUGGAAUCUCUGCUUCCUGAUGUGAUGUCUUGAGCCACUUCCCUCU